UACGAAGGGGGCUAGCGUUGUUCGGAUUUACUGGGCGUAAAGCGCACGUAGGCGGUUUGUUAAGUCAGGGGGUGAAAUCCCCGGAGCUCAACUCCGGAACUGCCUUUGAUACUGGCAAGCUAGAGUCCGGAAGAGGUAAGUGGAACUCCUAGUGUAGAGGUGGAAUUCGUAGAUAUUAGGAAGAACACCAGUGGCGAAGGCGGCUUACUGGUCCGGAACUGACGCUGAGGUGCGAAAGCGUGGGGAGCAAACAGG
rnacentral:rRNA from 1 species